rnacentral:rRNA from 1 species
CAGUCGCCGCGGUAAAACGUAGGUCCCGAGCGUUGUCCGGAUUCAUUGGGCGUAAAGCGAGCGCAGGCGGUUAGAUAAGUCUGAAGUGAAAGGCAGUGGCUCAACCAUUGUAGGCUUCGGAAACUGUUUAACUUGAGUGCAGAAGGGGAGAGUGGAAUUCCAUGUGUAGCGGUGAAAUGCGUAGAUAUAUGGAGGAACACCGGUGGCGAAAGCGGCUCUCUGGUCUGUAACUGACGCUGAGGCUCGAAAGCGUGGGGAGCGAACAGGAUUAGAUACCCCAGUAGUCCCUGUCUCUUAUACA